UGCGUAGGUGGCGUGGUAAGUCGGGUGUGAAAUUUCGGAGCUUAACUCCGAAACUGCAUUCGAUACUGCCGUGCUUGAGGACUGGAGAGGAGACUGGAAUUUACGGUGUAGCAGUGAAAUGCGUAGAGAUCGUAAGGAAGACCAGUGGCGAAGGCGGGUCUCUGGACAGUUCCUGACACUGAGGCACGAAGGCUAGGGGGAGCAAACGG
rnacentral:rRNA from 1 species